GAUGAACGCUGGCGGCGUGCCUAACACAUUCAAGUCGAACGGACGAUCGGGAGCUUGCUCCUGAAAGUUAGUGGCGGACGGGUGAGUAACGCGUGAGCAACCUACCUUUGUAUGGGGGAUAACACAGGGAAACUUGUGCUAAUACCGCAUAACGUAUACUGAUCGCAUGUUCGGUAUACCAAAGAUUCAUUGUACAAAGAUGGGCUCGCGUCUGAUUAGAUAGUUGGUGAGGUAACGGCUCACCAAGUCGACGAUCAGUAGCCGGACUGAGAGGUUGAACGGCCACAUUGGAACUGAGGUACGGUCCAGACUCCUACGGGAGGCAGCAGUGGGGAAUAUUGGGCAAUGGGCGAAAGCCUGACCCAGCGACGCCGCGUGAAGGAAGAAGGCCUCGGUUGUAACUUCAGUCAACAGGGAAGAAACGAAAUAGAACGGUACCUAGUGGAGGAAGCCAACGGCGUAACUACGU
rnacentral:rRNA from 1 species